CCUACGGGAGGCAGCAGCAAGGAAUUUUCGGCAAUGGGCGCAAGCCUGACCGAGCAACGCCGCGUGCGGGAUGACGGCCUUCGGGUUGUAAACCGCUUUUGCGGGGGAUGAGACAGACAGUACCCCGCGAAUCAGGCUCGGCUAACUCUGUGCCAGCAGCCGCGGUAAGACAGAGGAGCCAAGCGUUGUCCGGAGUAACUGGGCGUAAAGCGCACGCAGGUGGUCGGGCAAGUGCCGUGUGAAAGCGCCCCGCUUAACGGGGCGAGGUCAGGGCAGACUGCUUAACUUGAGCCGUGCAGAGGUCCGUGGAAUUGCCGGUGUAGUGGUGAAAUGCGUAGAGAUCGGCAGGAACACCCAAGGGGAAGCCAGCGGACUGGGCACGUGCUGACACUGAGGUGCGACAGCGUGGGGAGCGAACUGGAUUAGAUACCCCAGUAGUC
rnacentral:rRNA from 1 species